rnacentral:rRNA from 1 species
AUUGAACGCUGGCGGCAUGCCUUACACAUGCAAGUCGAACGGCAGCACGGGUGCUUGCACCUGGUGGCGAGUGGCGAACGGGUGAGUAAUACAUCGGAACGUACCUUAUCGUGGGGGAUAACGCAGCGAAAGCUGUGCUAAUACCGCAUACGCCCUGAGGGGGAAAGCGGGGGAUCGCAAGACCUCGCGCGAUUAGAGCGGCCGAUGCCUGAUUAGCUUGUUGGUGGGGUAAAAGCCCACCAAGGCGACGAUCAGUAGCUGGUCUGAGAGGACGAGCAACCACACUGGGACGGAGACACGGCACAGACUCCUACGGGAGGCAGCAGUGGGGAAUUUUGGACAAUGGAGGCAACCCGGAUCCAGCAAUGCCGCGUGAGUGAAGAAGGCCUUCGGGUUGUAAAGCUCUUUUGUCAGGGAAGAAACACCGGCUCUAACACAGUCUGGGAAUGACGGUACCUGAAGAAUAAGCACCGGCUAACUACGUGCCAGCCGCCGCCGUAA